UUUACAUUAAAGCAACAAGUUCAGGCAUAGUUCAAAGAGCAGAUAUGGAGGAUAAUAAAGAGCAUAGUAAAGAGAAUUUAACAGUAUGUCUGGAAGAAGACAUUACAUCUGUGCUAACAACAACUAGAAUUAAAACACUAGCAACCAAAAAUCUUUACCAAAAAGAAGGGGUAGGGAUUUGUUCAAGCAUCUUCAACCAUCUGAUAAUGAAUCAGGGAUUUUCAGCUCAAAACCUGAUUGAACUGGAAGUAGUCUGUCCAUCUGAGUACCCAAUAUUACCUAACAAUAAAAAGAAAAUAUUAGAUUUGGAAGGACAAAUGAGGAAAGUGCAUGUGAAGAUGACAUCACCUGAGAGUGGUGAAGCUGACAGAAUGAGCUCAUCUAAGAUCCACCAUGGAUUUAGCUAGAAUAGAACCCAGAGUAGGAGAAAUUGGAGAUUGGAAUUCCAUCGGCAGCACUUAGGAGGAAUG
rnacentral:lncRNA from 1 species